UUACUAUCAUUAGAAAAGCAAUAAUGUUAGUUGUAAUAAUAAUUAAUAAUAAAAGUAAUAGUAAUACUAAUAUUAAUAGCAAUUGUUGACACCAAAAUAAUAAUAAUAAUAGCAAUAAUAAUUACUACUAUUGCCUAUCAGAUCCUAAUGCCAACAUUUGAAUUUGUUUAUAUGGAAAGACGGUUUUUGCCUUGAUCUUGUCAAUUGAACUGAAAGUGGCGAUCGCGAAUAGCGAACACCUGCAACCACAUAAACGGUCAAGGAUGCCAGAAGUUUUUCUGGCAUUAACCCUCCAACGCUCCAGUAAGUAUCAAGGUUUUUGUGGAAUAACAAGAUAUAUAGUUUUUAUGUAAAAAUGAUCAAAAAGUGAGUUAGAAAAAGAAAAAAUGUAAAAAGAAAUUUUUGUUGGAGAAAAAUCAAUUUUUUAAUUUUUUUUAUAAAAACUUUUAGGACCGAUCUCAUACAAUAUAUAGGAAUACAUAAUCUAAAAAUCGUACUUUAAAAAUCUGAGAAGAUGAACAAUCUUUGCUUUUUGCGCUGAAGUGAUUUAGGCUCCCAAAUCACGAUCUGUCACCACCACUCCUGUUAGAUCACGAUCCGUCACCACCACGCCUAUUAGAUCACGAUCCGUCAACACUGAUCUUCUAAAUUAUGACUCAAGUUUGAUCUACACUUGACGUGUGGGCGCCUUUAUCACCACUAUAAGCAACUAGCAAGAGAAAAUUUUCCUCUCAAAAUUAGAGAUAAAAAAUAUUUUUUCUCUGGUCCGUGUAAAGUGACAGCUCUUUUUAUUUUUGGGAGAAAAUAAACAUUUUUAUAUCUUUAUUUAGUGGAAACCCUAGGCUCCAUAUUUAUUUAUUUAUUUAUUAAUUCUAUUAAAUCCCAUUUGAUUUAAAUUAAAAAUAAUUAAAACAAAAGUCACGUUACUUGUUCUUGUGUUAUAAGGGCCCACGUUCUAAAAUAAUACAAGGCCCCUUGCACUCAAGUAUAUCACAUGGAGCCUCCCACUAAAUAAUAUAUUUAGACUUUUGACCCAAAUAGCUAGUUAUCUUACUUAUUAAUCCAGUAGCGGCGCAGUCAAUUAAAUGAGCUAAUCCGGGGAUCAUAUGGGUACAUACAAUAGUGGCUACAAUAAUUAAGCUGUAAUUAAACUAAUCCAAUUAUUUAAUUCCAAAUCUACUCCACUAAAAGAUUGGAAUUGACCUCCAUAAUUGUAUGCUAUCUAGGAUAGUGUACUCGAAUAAUAAUUCGACUCAUGCCACAUGAAUUUCUUUACUGCAUAAUCAUUUGUACCACAUCGUUAAUUAAAAUGAUAUUUCAACUGUCCAAUCGAUUUAAUUACAUCUUGUUCCUUGAUACUUACUGGUUUUCUCUAUUGAUCAUUUUCAAACAUACUAAAUAUGUUGACACACUCUGGCCAGAGAAUUCUAUGAUCAAGUGCCGAAAACUCAUCAAGAGAUGUGUUGUACAAAUUCUAUAUUGUUAAUUUAUAAUUCUAAUACUCAUAAUUGUUCCCACCAAGAUACCGGGUAAUCUUGACCACAAGUGUGUGUCGUGCCCAUUGGUAACUCAAAUGGAAUAACAAUUACAAUCAUGAAAUCAUAACUAACUCAAGAUUAAGAUUACAGUAAAAUCAAUGUCUAUGAGAUUUAAUAAGUCUGACAUUCAUUUCAAGGUUAAUUAAAUAUCAUAUGUGAUACAGCUCAAUGUAGUCAAACUACAUCAGUAAAUUCAUAUAUGAUUAAGAUAAAUUAUUCAAUGAAUUUACUACAGUCUAAAUAUAAAUAAAGUGUCCAACUCUAUUUAUCAAAUGCAAACUAAAUUUAUUUAAUCAUGAGAUAACUUGUAUUUAUAUCUUCUGUAAAUCCAUAUGAUGAUCACAUAAAUACAUAUAAUAUGAUUAAACGGACCUUAUUCAAUAUAUAUUUAUGCAAUUGAAAAUAUCUCAAAUAUUUUAUUGAUGGUUGUCGAAGCCAACAAAAAUAAAUUCCUACUCUAAAUAAAUUGUGUAUAGUGAUUGAGCAGGGUCGUGUCCACAGAGAUCGGUAAUUAUUUAAAUCCUUUUGAAACGUAAAACUUAAAAUAGGGGAAUUGUUGACAAUAAUAAAAAUCAAAUUAAAAUAACAAGAAUGCAAAUUAAAGUUGUAAUUCAAAUUAGAGAAAGCUCUGGUUGAAGGAAUUAACUCAGCUUGAUUCGACUACUGAUCAUUGAUUCAAAUAUAGAUUAUUAUUACUUAUGAAUAGACCGGUUAUAGCUACUGAGACCCUCUAAUAGCCAAUCUCUCCUUAACUAGUCGAUAACCAAGGUACGACUGUUGGUUAUUUCCCUAAUCAAUAGACAACCCUAGAGAUGAUCAUAGGAUUUAAUCAAUUGACAGCCUGAAAGACCAGAGAGACCCAAAUCCUAAUCAACACAUAUGGUGAUUCAUUUAAAUUAGAUUGUUUAUUCUCAUAACACAACUCACUGCUAUGUUAUUUGUUACAAACAUUAAAAUCUUCAUACGAUGAAUUCUUUAAUUGACAAUAGAUUAAGUUGAUAAUUAAAUAGUGGCCAAUUACCUAAUUAACAAACAUAAUCAUGAAACUAAUUCAGAAAAUAAACAAAUACCCAAAAAGCAAUAAAACAAUUAAAGCAUAAGAAAGAUCUCACAGUAGUGAUGAAUCAAAGCUUCAUUAUCCUUCAACCAGAAAAAUAAGUUUAGUUCUUCAUAGAGAGAAGAGAAAAGUUUAGAUAUAGGGUUUCUUUCCUUUUCUCCCCUGCCCCAUUUUCACAAUAGAUUCUUCCCUUAAAUACUCUCUCUCUCCUCUCUUUUAGAAUUCUAUUUAAAAUAAAAUACUAAUAUUUGAAAUAUUAAAUUCGUAAUUACAAAAAUAACCAAAAAUACAAAAUACGUUAAACUAAAAGCUGCAGGUCCACAGUUGACAGCACGCGCCCACGCCUCAUCAACAAAGUUCUUCUGCCGCUCAUAAUUUCUCCAAGAGAACAAUCAUCCUUAAACAUCAUCUUAUAGCUCAAUUUUAUCACCAAUCAAUAGAAUUGCACCUACAAAAGUAAAACACAAGUAAAUCACUAUUAUUAAGUGCAAAACAUCAAUAUUAAAGGAAGUAAACAAUGCAAAACUAGUGCAUAAAUUGCACUCUAACAUUUAUUAAUCAAAAAAUAAAUUAAUAUGUUUUAAAAGAGCAUAUAAUCCCAACAAUUUUCCCUUCCAAAAUUAGGAAAAAUAAUGAUAAGGAGGGAUAAAAAAAAUUAAGAAUCAAAAGGAAAUCCAAAACUAGUCUUUUAUUUUGUAAGAUUGGACGGGGGUCUUCAUAUUCAAAAUUCUAGGACCCCUUUUGCCUCUUGGGAGUUUUGUAAGAGUUCAAAUCCCUUUCCCCUUGAGUCUUGGUAUGGUGGGUUUUAGGGAUAAAGUUCCAUCUUUAUUUGCCCCUAGAUUCAAGGAUUAUAGGUUUUGGCUAGGAUUCCACCUCUUUCUCCCCUUAUGAUUAUGGAAUUGUCGAUUUUGAGGAUAGAGUUAAACCCUUGGAUUUUCAGAUAAGAUGGGAUGGUGGUUUUGAACAGGUUUAACUUCAGUUCAACUGCCUCCUUGGCUAAAUCCUAGUCGUCCGUCUUCGUCAAAUUUACAUAUUGUGGUAAGGCAAGCACAACAAGGCCUCAAAUAAGGCCUUAUUGUGGCUGCCCUAUUUUAUCACCCAAACACUAAUCGCCUAAUUUCUAGUAUUUAGAGUUUUUCGAAUAAAACUAGAAACUAUAUAUGCAAAAACUCCCUCUCUACCUAUUUUUUGUACCAGGCCUGCCUGCCUUUUUAACAGCCGUUGUGUAUUCCCGUUAAUGACCCAAAAUAAGAAUAUAUUGUUGGCAUUUACCUUCGAGUUUGCUUUUAUCCACUUGUGACGUGACGCGUGUUGAUCUAAGUAUUCAAAUUUUUUAUUUGGCAACUUGUUUCUUUAUAUAUGCCUCUUAAAAAAGCUAUCAUAAAUGUGGCUGACUCCAAUUUUUCUAAUCCUUAAAACAUAUGGUUUUUUCUAUUUUAUUUUCUCUUCUUUUCUAAAAAUUUCUUGCAUCUUUCCCUUUCUUCUUUCUUCGAUUGCAUGCAGUAUGAUGAGAUAAUAUUUUAAUAUAUGUUGCGUAUAAUAAAAACAUAUUGGAUAAGUUAUUGGAUAAUUAUUUUUAUAAGAUCAUUAUUUCUA
rnacentral:lncRNA from 1 species